UGAUUUGAAUGUUUAUUGUAUUUUACACAACACAGGAAAUGUGAAUUGAUUAUAUUUGAAUCAAAAUAGUUGCUGAAUCAUAACACGCUAUUCAUUCUAUUUUUAUUGUUUUAAAACUUUGUUAAUAAGGAAAAAACAUUUCCACAUUAGCUAUUGUUUAUAGUCAACAGAAAAAUCCCUUUAAAUCUGUGUUAAUCUCUCGUGGACAGAUUCUCGUUACAGGAAAUUACAAACUUUCAUGAGAGAAUUCUACUUCUGGGUAACCGAGAUUAAACAUAUGUUAAUAUUAAGGCUUUGUUCACCAUUGCUCUCAUGUGGUGAAAUGAUUUAUGAUGCAUAUGUAACGGAUCACAUCCGUUACACAUCCGUUACACAUACUGUAUAUUUGUAAAACAAUGUGUAACUGUAAACAUUGUAUCUGUGGUUGAAACCAGUUCAGGUAACAGAACCGAAAACCAUAAAAUAACUAAAUAAGAAUGGAUCAACUUUUUCAAUGCUAGUUAUCACAUUUCACAUUGGAUUUAUAAACUACAAAAAGGUAAGACGUGUUUUUAAUUCUGGUGCUGCUCUGCACACACAAGCGUGUUAGCUAGCUAGCUCAAAAUACAUUCAAAGUUCCUCCAUAGAAGCCGCUCCUCCUAGGUACAAUUCCUUGGACCUAAAUCAGAUCAUGCAUGUCAUAACAAGAUGCCCAGCGCUUCAAGACUCCUCCUCAACUCUCUCUUGCUCUCUCUCUCUCCCCACCCACAAAAUAUCAGUCGCAUCUUGCGAUGUAAACUACAGUUGUCUGUACAUCACGCGUGUAAACAACUAGCUUGCCUGCUCUAUCCGCGCUGAUUGGCGAAGUCAUUUUUAAUGAGCUAAAUGUAAAACACGGUUGAUUUCACAGGUUAAAAAAGGAACAGAAAGGAACGAUAUAAUCCAGUAUUUUUUGGGGUUCGAAUCGGUUCAGGACAUUAUUUUGCUGGUCCGAACAGAAAAACAUUGUGAUUCUGUCCAGAAUGAAACGAUUGGAAAAUCAUUUCCGUUCCAACCCUUGCUUCAACACCAACGUUUUUUUUUGCAACUUUGAAAUUCGCCACUAGUGUGACCUUACACAUUGUUAAUCAUUUAAUAAUAAAACAUUGGACUGGUUUAGAACCGGAAAAUGUAUGGAUAUAACAACCAGAUGAAUUAGUCGCAUCAUUAAACAGCAGGAAAUUUAUUUUUAGUUAAAAAUAAAAAAAAAUCCAAAGAAAGAAGUGGGCUUCGUAGGUACGCUUACCCUAAUUCUCCUAACCUGCUGCGUAAGUUCUCCUAACCUGAUACGAAAGGUCAAUUCUAACAUAAAUUGUAUCCCAUCUAGACAGCCUAGAAUGGUCCCACCUAAUCUUGCCUUCCAUCUUGAGGAUAUGUAUUUCCAUUGUUUGAGAGGCCACUCAACUAUCUUGUCAAUAUAAUAUAAAAACUUUGAUCUAACUAAGUAAGCAGCUUCUUUCAAACACUCUCUCUCCUUUCUCCUCUGCAGCUUAGCUACUGAAGUCCUGAUCAGGAUUCGUGGUCUGUCAAUGAGGAACUACAGGCUUAUCUUUUGCCAUAACCUGAAGCAGCCAUAGAUGACCAUUCGAUUCACCGCUAGUGAGAGGUGCUGAAGAUAAGGUGAAUUACUGGGUGUUUUAAGUGCUGAACGAUGAGUACUACAACAACAACACAUAUUAUCUGGCCAUUUAGGUUUGUGUGAGCAUUGAGCUAACAUUAUUGUCAACAUGUUUAGAGCAAAUGGCGAGCCACAACACACUGCUGUGGUUGAAUAGAGGCUGCAGUCAGUCAUUUUGUUUUCACAGCCUAAUAUGCCCCAUGCUGACCUGCAGUAGAGCCCUUUUUUAGGGAGGUCGCUGGCCUGGGUAUUGUGUGUUUGUUUAAUAGGGCACAGAUCAUUGAAACCGUCAUUGACAUAUUCUUUGGUUUUAAUGAUGUAAUCUUGAUAGGAUGUUUUAUUCUUGAACUUUCCUCUCACACCUCCUUUUUGAGUAAAAGCCAGAAGUGUUGGCUCCCGAGUGGUGCAGCUGUCUAAGGCACUGCAUCUCAGUGCAAGAGGUGUCACUACAAUCUCUAGUUAGAAUCCAGGCUGUAUCACAUCUGGCCGUGAUUGGUGAGGUGCCCUAUUGGCCCAGAGUCGUUCUUACUUUACUUACUUAGUUAAAUAAAGGUAAAAAAAAUAUGUUUACUAUAUUUUCCCAAAUGUUACAUCAGAAAUACAUAAACAAAUAGUCAGAAACAGAAGAUAUGGGAAAUCCCCAACCUUUUGACCACUGUAAACCUUGUCUGGGGGGUUGUGUGGUGUGGCCAGGAUACAUACUUAUGGCAUCUCAGUUUCACCCUGCUUACUGGGUCAGUCUGACACCAGACCCCAAAUGCCACACUACAGACAUUAACUGCCAGGGUCAAGAGGGUCAAGAGGAUUGCAACGGUGAAACUGCCUCAAAUUAUUUCUCAUUUACAAAAUAACGCACUUUGUUUUAUGGGCUAAAAUUGGUGUGAAUAUGUGGUGGAAUUCAAUCCCCAUUUCCAUACACUUUUAGUUAGCGGGUUAUUUUUGGGGGAACAACAUUUAACUUCAACCUUUUAAAUUAAGACAUGAACUUUCAUAUGACCUCUAACUUCACAUGUAUGGGAGUUUGCAUUCCUAAAUUCUACAUUUUCCCAAAAGUUCAAACGCACUGGCCCCGCAGACAUCAUCUCUGGGCCAAGAGUUAAAAGGUUCCGCAAUCGCCACCCCUGUCCACCUGUUUCAGCUAUUCCACUGCUCUCCUCAAACCCCCUUCCUCAAAAUCUGCAAUUUUCCUCUGCUCUUCCUUCAUAUAACUAUUUAGCUAAUGAUACUCUGACCUACUGCAUGUGUAAUAUUACUCCCCCUCCCACCUGUUCCAACCCUGCACUGCCUUGUGUCCACAGUGUGCAGGUUAUUAAUCAACUGCUACGUGUUCACAGUGUGCAAGGUAUUAAUCAACUGCUACGUGUUCACAGUGUGCAGGUUAUUAAUCAACUGCUACGUGUUCACAGUGUGCAGGUUAUUAAUCAACUGCUACGUGUCCACAGUGUACAGGUUAUUAACAACUGCUAUGUGUUCACAGUGUGCAGGUUAUUAACAACUGCUAUGUGUUCACAGUGUGCAGGUUAUUAACAACUGCUAUGUGUUCACAGUGUGCAGGUUAUUAACAACUGCUAUGUGUUCACAGUGUACAGGUUAUUAAUCAACUGUUAUUUGUUCACAGUGUGCAAGUUAUUAAUCAACUGCUGUGUUCACAGUGUAUAUGUUAUUAAUCAACUGUUAUGUGUUCACAGUGUGCAAGUUAUUAAUCAACUGUUAUGUGUUCACAGUGUAUAUGUUAUUAAUCAACUGUUAUGUGUUCACAGUGUAUAUGUUAUUAAUCAACUGUUAUGUGUUCACAGUGUGCAAGUUAUUAAUCAACUGUUAUGUGUUCACAGUGUAUAUGUUAUUAAUCAAC
ensembl:lncRNA